rnacentral:misc_RNA from 1 species
GGAACGCCUUUCAUGAUAAACGUGAAGGACAAAAACGCUGGUGACUCUAACGAUGCCCUCAUCGAUGUCUUUAACACCACCCUCACGACUCCCUUGACAACAAACACAACUGCUGGGGUACCGCUGACGCUGAGUGGCACGAGGAUGAGAACUGUGUUAGUGUUAGACGUCAGCGUUGGCUGCACCCCCAACUACUACGGCAACGACUGCUCCAUCAACUGCACCACCACCUACAUCAAUUCCUACUGCGACCACACGACUGGGACCAUCCGCUGCAACCAAGGUUGGCAUGGAGACAAGUGUGAAGAGGACAUAGACGAGUGCUCCCCCACACAACUGAAUCAAGUAUGUCCGGGUAACAGCACAUGCGCAAACACCGCCGGAAGUUACACCUGUACCUGCAACGAUGGCUGGACAGGAUCGUCAUGUGACACAUUCCAAUCGUUGUGUACAAGUAACCCAUGCAGAAACAAUGGCACCUGUGUCAGUAGCUCACCCACCUUAUCCUGUCGGUGUUCUAAAGGGUGGUCUGGACCCACCUGUGAGACGUAUAGCCCUGGGUGCGAACCCAACCCGUGUUACAAUGGGGGUAGAUGUGAGGUGACAUCGGGGAAAGUUGUGUGUGGGUGUCCGGCCAGCUGGACGGGCGACAACUGUACAGAAGAUGUUAACGAGUGUAAACUACAGCCUUGUGCCAAUGGUGGAACGUGCAACAACGAAAAGGGUGGAUUCAACUGUACCUGCCCAGCAAAGUGGGUGGGUGAACGAUGUACGGACCUAAACCCCGUGUGUCCCCCAAGGCAGUGUAUGAAUGGGGCUACUUGUAUAAACCAGAUAGAUAUGUACGUCUGCGCAUGCCCGGAUGGUUGGACAGGGACCACGUGUCAAACAGUACUUGACAGAUGUUCCUCCAACCCGUGUCAGAACGGUGGCAGCUGUGUCCACAAUGACACGACGUUUAAAUGUGAGUGUGGCCAUGAAUGGCGUGGGGCUCUCUGUACGGAGUCCAAUGAUCCGUGCAUUCUCUACCCAUGUCAGAACGGUGGUACUUGUUUAAGAGCUGAUGAAACUAAUUCAACCUGCCAAUGCGCUCCUGGCUGGUCGGGACUUAAGUGUGAAACCUUCAUUGGUUUUUGUCGCAGCAACCCAUGUCUCAACAACGGCACAUGUUUUGACGGUACACACACCUAUCAGUGCGACUGUGGGCCGUCAUGGCAUGGAGAUCACUGUGAGCAAGACACCGAUGAAUGUGAGGCAGGUGCUUGUGAGAAUGGCGCGACAUGUGUGAACACCGUUGGAGGAUACAUCUGCAACUGUUCUGGAGGGUGGACGGGAUCGAACUGUUCAACAGAUGUACAGGAAUGCGGAUCCAACCCAUGUCUGAACCAAGGCUUCUGUGUCAACACGCUAGGCAGCUUUCACUGCAUCUGUAACCUGCAUUGGUCGGGAAACACGUGCGAACAUUUCAAAGGAUCGUGUACCGAGGGUUCGUGUAACAACGCGGGCACCUGUCAGAGCAACGAGACAGAUUCCUGGUGUGUCUGCCCUUCUGGCUGGACCGGGGCACACUGUGAACAAGACGUCGAUGAGUGUAAAGCGAACAUAUGCGAUCAUUCUACAGUAUGCACAAACAACAACGGCAGCUUCGAAUGCGAGUGCAUUGAUGGCUGGAGUGGACAGAAGUGUGAUCAGGACAUUGAUGAAUGUUUUCUUGGAAUGUGCGCUCAUGGUAGUUCGUGUUCCAACUAUGACGGUGGGUAUAACUGCAGCUGUAUGCCGGGAUGGAAGGGGACGACCUGCCAGUACAGGCAGGAUGCCUGUGCACCACCGAGUCCAUGCAUCAAUGGUGGAACCUGCUCCAACACUGACCAGGGCUACCGAUGUCAGUGCCCGGGUGGGUAUACCGGACAACAGUGCCAGGCACAAAUUGAUGAAUGUGCUGCCGGACCUUGUCAGAACAAUGCCACGUGUGUCGACAUUCCUGGAGGGUACAAUUGUACUUGCAACUCCUACUGGAAGGGUCACCACUGCGGCACGGACGUCGAUGAGUGCGUCUCGCCCCAGUGUCUCAACAACGGCACAUGUGUCAAUUACGAUGGUGGAUUCCGAUGUGCUUGUCCUGGAAAUUGGACAGGAAGUGUUUGUGGAGAUUUCGUUAAUAAUUGCAGCUGGAAACCAUGUUUAAAUGGGGGUAGUUGCACUGACCACAUAUAUGGGUACAGCUGCUCCUGUGCCUACGGGUGGACCGGUCAGCGAUGCGAUGUGGCUGUGGACCCUUGUGCAAACAGUCAGUGUGGUCAGGGGUCAACCUGUUUGUUCGCGGAUGGUCAAGUCACGUGUGUCUGUGCUUCUGGAUUGACUGGCCCACAAUGUUCCAGCACGAUAGACCCAUGCUGGUCUUCUCCGUGCUCCAACAAUGGGACAUGUGCCGUAGCUGACACAGCCGUGAUCUGUGUCUGUGUCCAUCCUUGGUCUGGCGCCCACUGUGACGUCAAUAUGUCUGAAGCUGCACAUGCGUCUUCAUCAACUACAGUUUCAUCGUCCAAAGGGACAUCAACAAGGUCGACAUCGUCUACACUGAGGUAUACGAAAACUACGUUUUCAUCAACAGGACCUAGUAUUCCCUUUUCUGAAAAGCACAGCACCGCGUCCAGCACCACGUCUUCUAAACGCAGACCAACCAUCCAGACUACACGGUCAAUAUCUUUAACUACUACUCCACACGCUACGACGGCAACGUCAACAACAACGAGAUCAACAACGACAACAUCAGUGCCACUCAGUCAUUCAACGAUGAAAAUCAGAAACACAAGUCCAACAAAUAUCCAACCCAAACAAACAGUCAGACAAACAAAUAAACGCAUGGGCGAGACAAACACAAGUCCACCUAACGUGCUUACAACAAACCCGUCAGGUUUAAGGAUGCCGUUUCGUUCAGUGUUCAAUGUGGCGAUAAACAGACAUCCACCAGUGACAUACAGAAAGCAAUUACUUCCGUCACAGCCGCAGACUUUCAGAAACUGUUUUCCAAACAACUUGUGUCAGAAAAUACAGGAAGCAAUGAAAAUACAUCAAAGAAGACAGUAAUCAUAUCAGUGUCUGUAUCAGUGGGAGUUGUCGGAGUCGCUGCCGUCGUCAUCACCAUCAUCUACUGCAGGCGACGGCGGGGGACAGCAGCAAGAGAUUACGUGUACGUGACUGAGGAAACCAAG